GGGAUAUUAAAAACAUUGGAGUAAAAGACCUUCCUCAAGGAAUGUUUGAAGUAGGAAGCAGCUUGAAGCAAUUAUACCUGGAUGGGUUUAACAAAGAUUUGCGCUUUUGCCAACUGAAGUACCCCACGGAUUUAUCGAGGACCUUGUACAGCACCUUCACGGCCCCUAACAACAGUUUAAUCAACCACAUGCAGAGUCUUACAAAACAAACUUGCCAGGAAAAUUGUAACAUGGCACCCUCAAUUUGUCCUGGAUGUAUUGGUCUUCGAUACAACUACAAAU